CCCAGAUCCUGACACUGCACAUGCCGAGGCUGAGGUCACCAUCUCCCCCGACUGACCUUUGCCACCACUGGCUUGGUCACCAGGGGCUUCGUGUGUUGUCCUGCGUCUCCUUCAUCAAGGAUAGUUAAUUUAUCACUUCUUUCUGGAAGGAGGCAACUGUAGACUGGAGAAGGACUAGAAAGAGAAGGAAGGGAACCAAAGACUAACUCUACCUGCUCAGACAGUCCUGCCACUCUUCCCUUUCUAGAAGCCAGACAGGACCUGCUGCCGGAGGCCUGGUUGGCCCAGACUGGGCUGGGAGGAGCUCUCAGAGUGGGCAGAGGCUGCUGGUGGAAGCUGAAGAUCUGGAGGAGUCCCUGAGCCUCUGAGCCCUGGGCUUCCUGUCUAUGAAAUGAAGGCUUCAACUAGGACUGGUCCAGCUGACCCCAUCUUAUCAACAGAGCGAUCAAGAGUGUUUUUCAGGAACUGAGACCCCUUGUCCAGUUCAAGCCGGUUGAGACCACCAACCCAUCAACUGGGCCUGCACAAAUGCUCGAUAAGUGACCUUGUUGACAUCAAGGAGCUACAAACUCCAC
rnacentral:lncRNA from 1 species